rnacentral:misc_RNA from 1 species
ACAAAUUAUCCAAUACCAACCACUUGUGCACUGUUGAAGUAUGCUUUGGUAGAGUUCUGGGGUGAUCGUGCUUGCAUGGUCCCUCGAUCUGCCAGAGUUUUUACCAAUACUAAACAAACAAACGUCUUAUCAAUCUGACUGAACUUCAUUUUACAAAUGAAAAUA